AAAUUAAAAAUUAAAAUUUGUCUUGUGGCAAUUCCGGUGAAAAUCCGGAGCAGUCCCGCUACUGUAAUCCGUCCCGCCAGAGGGCAAGGACGAGAAAGCCAGAAAACACAAAACAAAUUAAAUCGUC
rnacentral:ncRNA from 2 species